CGAGUGACUAUCUACCAGUCCAAGAC
rnacentral:misc_RNA from 1 species